rnacentral:rRNA from 1 species
AACGAACGCUGGCGGCAUGCUUAACACAUGCAAGUCGAACGAAGUCCCCGGGCUUGCCUGGGGAUCCUUAGUGGCGGACGGGUGAGUAACGCGUGGGAACCUGCCCAGGAGUGGGGAAUAACUAUUGGAAACGAUAGCUAAUACCGCAUAUUUCCUGAGGGAGAAAGGCUUCGGCCGCUUUUGGAUGGUCCCGCGUCUGAUUAGCUUGUUGGUGGGGUAACGGCCUACCAAGGCGACGAUCAGUAGCUGGUCUGAGAGGAUGAUCAGCCACACUGGGACUGAGACACGGCCCAG